ACAAAAUAUAGGUUUGCUGCAGCCUGAGCCGUCAGAAAAGCAAUGGAAUUUGGGGGAAUGCUCUUUCUGAAACAAGCCCUGUGACAGUGCCCAGGCUGUGCCAGGUACUGGGAACUUGGACAUUCAUAUCACAGAAUCACAGAAUUAUUAAGGCUGGAAAAGGCUUAAAAGACCAUCAUGUCCAAGCUUUGACAGCUCACCCCAUGCCCACUAAUCCAUAGCGCUGAGUGACACAUCUGCUGGUUUUUGAACAAUUUCAGAUGUGGUUCCUCCUCCACAGUCUGUGCCAGGGCUUGAAGCCCCUUUCAGUGAAGAAAUGGCUUAUUUCCUUUUUGUUUAAAUGACUCUUUACACCCUCCUUGACUUCAUUUGCAGCAAGACAGCAAAACCCAUCUCCUUGUCACUCUUUUCUGUGGCAAUGCCCCUUCUGGAGAUGGGGGAAGACAAAUACUGUGAUUAUUUUUGUGGGAGUUCACAACACUGCAUUGCCAGCAGGACAUGGCACAUAUUCAUGUCCCUGUGCCUUAACCAGGCUCAGGAGCCUUGAGGUACCUGAUAAUUCGAAUGUUCAUUGGCCCUGAGAGUGUCCUCCUUUCUUUAUUCACAGCUCAGCAGAACCCCUGUCCCUGAAGGCAGCUAUAAAAAUAUAUAACCAGGCAGCCCAGCUUCUCAUUUCCCUGAGAGCUGGGGACAGCUCUGGAAAAUAAUCUCAGCAAAAAAAAUCAUAAUUAUGGUUGAUUCGCUCUUUACAAUUAGGAAAUUUUGGCAUGCACCGAUUGUUGCUCAGCAAGACAAAAAGCCAGGCAAAUAGAGAGCAAAAAAACCCAAAACCCGGGGAAAGUGGUGAGAAAUGAGUGGCAAAUCAGAUCUUUGUUAGGUUUGGGACAGCUCUGGGUGUUUUCUAUCCUGUUGCAGAUCUGCUGCAGUUCAGGCAGUGAGGGGGUCAUGCUGUUGUGGUCGUCGAGAGGGAAACAAUCUGAGAAAUGAAAUGCAACUCUCCUGCAAGGGCAGUGCAGGAAAACAGUAUCAUAUCCAGACAAAUUAAUCCACCUUACGUUUCUGGCUGUCUCAAGGCCCUUUGUUUCACUGGCAGUGCAGUCCCAGGUAGAAAUGUAAUUAUUAUUUCAAGUGGAAAGUUCUUUUGCAAGAGCCAUUUGUGCAGGUUGCUGUCUCCCAGCAGAACCCCUUCAGUGAAGUGUGUUUUCAUUUUGAAACACAAUAACAGCCGUCAGAUCGAGCCCUCGUUUGUUUUGCUUGGUUUUGUUUUGUUCCUGUCAUUUGUGUAUCAUCAUUUCAGGAAAUAAACGUGUCUGUGAGCACUCAGAGCCACGUGUCUGAACUUCCAUUUGUCACUGGAGGUGUUGGCCCCACCAAUUCCCAGCCCCGGUCACAACCAGCUGCUUAAUAAAAGCUGUGGGAAGUCGGCUCCACUCACAGGUUGCAACAAUUUCAUAACCACAGAGAGGAAAAGGAAUGUUGGGGCACUUUGCAGGAGGUUGUGGCAUGGAGGAGUUUGGUCCCCUACCCACAAGGGCAUCAUGGGUCUGUUGGAGCCCCUUGUCCAGCUCUGUAGGGUUGAUCUACACCCUGUGAUUACAGUCACACAGCAACAGGUACUGAGGGCAGUGCUGGAGGUCCUGAAAACCCUCAGUUUGGGGGAUUUUGGCCAGCACUGAAGGUGAUUGUAGAUGCCCCUAGAAUGGAUUAAUGGUAAAAAAAUGAGUUUAAUAGGAGACACAGUAAAUGAGAACAUGUAUAUCAAUAUGAUAUAUAACAUAUUAUUGUGUAAUGAUAAACGAUAUAAUGUAACAAAAGGUAAAAUAAUGGUAAAAAACAAGUACCUCUUAGUCCUCUGGAGUGAUUUCUAUUUCCUCUUCUUUCACAGAAUCACAGGAUCAUAGAAUGGUUUGGGUUGGAAGGGACCUCAAAACUCAUCCAGUGCCACCCCCUGCCAUGGGCAGGGACACCUUCCACUAUCCCAGGAUGCUCCAAGCCCCAUCCAACCUGGCCUUGGACACUUCCAGGGCUGGGGCAGCCAAGGUGGAAGCAUUUUCCCAGAUAUAACUCUGAACUCAAGCUUCUUUUCCUUCGAGUUCUCAUAUGUUUUUUUCCUAGGCAUGAACCUCUUGCUAUGAACAGGGGCCUGACACCUGCCCAGGUUGCAGCCUGUGCUCUUUCCAGAGCUGUCAGCAAAAUACUCUGUGAGGGAACCAAUUGUGUUCCUUGCUCCCGGAUUUCAGUGUUACUGAGGAUUAUUGGGAGGACCCAGAAAAGGGCUCAUAAAAAUAUCUCUUACUCCACUUACUGAUAGCCCAGGCAGGUGAAGAAGCACUAAAACAGAGCACAGAAACAGCACAAAUGGAAAUUAAAGAAGCCUGCAAACAAGUUCUGCCUGAAGACAUCCAAGCACACACACUGCAAUAGAUUUCCUCCCAAACAACUCCAAGACCUGUUUCUCUACCUCAUGCACAUUAUAAAACACUCAGGGAAAUGGAGAUGAAGUCCCAAGAUGCAUUGAGAUCAUUCUUUCCAAUGACAACAAUGCAAUUCUUUGAACAGUGUGCAUGUCAGAUAGACAGAGGAAUAAAUAAGGUAUCUAUUGCAUGGCAAAAACCUGCAUUUCAUGAUUUAUGGGCUUGGGUAGAAUUAUAGGAACAUGUAAAUACCCUCUGCAAAAGAUUAUGAGAAUAAUUGAAAUGAUUGAUUGAAUUGAGUGGUUGAAUUAAACUGAUAGUUGGUGAAGAUUCAAAGUUGGUGAAAAAUUGCAGGCAAUAAUAUGGGGUUCUGUAAUAUAAUAUAUUAUUAUCUGUGUAUUGCCACAAUGGAGGUGAAUAAAUCUUGACAAGCCCCUG